rnacentral:rRNA from 1 species
ACGUAGGGUGCGAGCGUUAAUCGGAAUUACUGGGCGUAAAGCGUGCGCAGGCGGUUCGCUAAGACAGGUGUGAAAUCCCCGGGCUUAACCUGGGAAUGGCGCUUGUGACUGCAUCACUCGAGUACGGCAGAGGGAGGUGGAAUUCCGCGUGUAGCAGUGAAAUGCGUAGAUAUGCGGAGGAACACCGAUGGCGAAGGCAGCCUCCUGGGCCAGUACUGACGCUCAUGCACGAAAGCGUGGGGAGCAAACAG